CAAACGACUCUCGGCAACGGAUAUCUCGGCUCUCGCAUCGAUGAAAAACGUAGCGAAAUGCGAUACUUGGUGUGAAUUGCAAAAUCCCGUGAAUCAUCGAGUCUUUGAACGCAAGUUGCGCCCGAAGCCAUUAGGCCGAGGGCACGUCUGCCUGGGCGUCACGC
rnacentral:rRNA from 1 species